GACGAACGCUGGCGGCGUGCCUAAUACAUGCAAGUUGAGCGCUGAAGGUUGGUACUUGUACCAACUGGAUGAGCAGCGAACGGGUGAGUAACGCGUGGGGAAUCUGCCUUUGAGCGGGGGACAACAUUUGGAAACGAAUGCUAAUACCGCAUAAAAACUUUAAACACAAGUUUUAAGUUUGAAAGAUGCAAUUGCAUCACUCAAAGAUGAUCCCGCGUUGUAUUAGCUAGUUGGUGAGGUAAAGGCUCACCAAGGCGAUGAUACAUAGCCGACCUGAGAGGGUGAUCGGCCACAUUGGGACUGAGACACGGCCCAAACCUCUACCGGAGGCCGCAGUAGGGGAUCCUCGGCAAAUGGAGGAAGGCUUACCGAGCAACGCCGCGGUAGGGAAGAAGGGUUUCGGAUCGGAAAACUCUGUUGGUAGAGGAGAACGGUGGGGAGAGUGGAAAGCUCAUUAAGUGACGGUAACUACCCAGAAAGGGACGGCUAACUACGUG
rnacentral:rRNA from 1 species